UUUUAUCUUUAAAAAUAGAUGUUCCGAUCCAUUAUAUUGCCACCGUUGAUUCGAAAGGAGACACCAAAAUAUCAUAAGAAAUUCACAAUAAAUUACAC